AUGGCAGAACAAGAGCUACAGGUAAUUCUGCUUUUCCGUCCCCCCUCACCACUCUCGCUCGCUCGCCCGCUCGCGCCCUCACCUAGCCGGAAAGGUGGGAUAAGGGGGGGCCCCUCACAUGGGGCCCGAGCUCGGAGGCGGCCGGGCGGCGCGGAGUCCUCCUGGAUCGUGGCAAUGGGCAGACACAGAGCAGAAAGUGGCGGACUUGGGCGGCCACAGGUGCCUUAUUCCUGCCCUUCUUUGUGCCUGCUGGACAAGCCUCUCUCCUCUUUCUCAUGCUGACUGCGAGGAGUGGGACAGGGCACCUGAGACUCCAGCAACUCCAAGUGCCAACAUUGACCUGGCCUCUUGCUUUUAGCUGCUCACCUCUCCCUCACCCUUCCGGGAUCCUGGGGCCCCUCAUCAGCAUUUUCUUCUAGUGAUCUCUGUCAUCUCCAAGGCCCAGACCACUCUAGGGUUUUGUAGCGAAUUGGGCUCUUUCUGUACCACCGCUAUGGCCAUAUUAGAGUGUAGCUUUCACUGUUCUGUUAAACUAGUUUUCACUCCUCCAUCGACCCUCUCUAUUCUUCAGAAUUGUGUUGAAAUAUAGCUUUUGCUGAUGACUCCUCCUCUAUCUUCUUUGCCGCUUUGGAUUUAUCCCUUUAUGUUCUUUUACUAUCCUUUUCAGGGGAGAAUGAAGAUAAAUACGUGUGUUUAAUCCUUUAAUCUGAAGUCCAUUUCCAAAAUUAUACAAAAGAUUUUACCAAACUGUCCCAAAUUGUUUGUGCAAAGAAACCCAGUGUUUAUGGUUAAACCAUUCCUUU